rnacentral:rRNA from 1 species
CCUACGGGAGGCAGCAGUGGGGAAUAUUGCGCAAUGGGCGAAAGCCUGACGCAGCGACGCCGCGUGAGGGAUGAAGGUCUUCGGAUCGUAAACCUCUGUCAGCAGGGAAGAACGGUCACUGUGCUAAUCAGCAGUGAAUUGACGGUACCUGCAAAGGAAGCACCGGCUAACUCCGUGCCAGCAGCCGCGGUAAUACGGAGGGUGCGAGCGUUGAUCGGAAUUACUGGGCGUAAAGCGCUCGUAGGCGGUAGGUCAAGUCAAGGGGGAAAUCCCCGCGCUCAACGUGGGAACUGCCUUUGAAACUGGCAAACUGGAGUGUGUGAGAGGAUAGUGGAAUGCCAGGUGUAGGAGUGAAAUCCGUAGAUAUCUGGAGGAACAUCAGUGGCGAAGGCGACUAUCUGGCACAUAACUGACGCUGAGGAGCGAAAGCGUGGGUAGCAAACAGGAUUAGAUACCCUAGUAGUC